GACGAACGCUGGCGGCGUGCUUAACACAUGCAAGUCGAACGGAAAGGCCCUGCUUUUGUGGGGUGCUCGAGUGGCGAACGGGUGAGUAACACGUGAGUAACCUGCCCUUGACUUUGGGAUAACUUCAGGAAACUGGGGCUAAUACCGGAUAGGAGCUCCUGCUGCAUGGUGGGGGUUGGAAAGUUUCGGCGGUUGGGGAUGGACUCGCGGCUUAUCAGCUUGGUGGUGGGGUAGUGGCUUACCAAGGCUUUGACGGGUAGCCGGCCUGAGAGGGUGACCGGCCACAUUGGGACUGAGAUACGGCCCAGACUCCUACGGGAGGCAGCAGUGGGGAAUAGUGCACAAUGGGCGGAAGCCUGAUGCAGCAACGCCGCGUGCGGGAUGACGGCCUUCGGGUUGUAAACCGCUUUCGCCUGUGACGAAGCGUGAGUGACGGUAAUGGGUAAAGAAGCACCGGCUAACUACGUG
rnacentral:rRNA from 1 species